GGAGAUUUAGCUCAGUGGUAGAGCGCUUGCCUAGCAAGCGAAGGCCAUGGGUUCAGUCCCCAGCUCCG
rfam:Rattus norvegicus chromosome 8, whole genome shotgun sequence.